rnacentral:rRNA from 1 species
GGGAAUCUGCCCUUUGGUUCGGAAUAACAGUUGGAAACGACUGCUAAUACCGGAUGAUGACGAAAGUCCAAAGAUUUAUCGCCAGAGGAUGAGCCCGCGUAGGAUUAGCUAGUUGGUGUGGUAAAGGCGCACCAAGGCGACGAUCCUUAGCUGGUCUGAGAGGAUGAUCAGCCACACUGGGACUGAGACACGGCCCAGACUCCUACGGGAGGCAGCAGUGGGGAAUAUUGGACAAUGGGCGAAAGCCUGAUCCAGCAAUGCCGCGUGAGUGAUGAAGGCCUUAGGGUUGUAAAGCUCUUUUACCCGGGAUGAUAAUGACAGUACCGGGAGAAUAAGCUCCGGCUAACUCCGUGCAGCAGCCGCGGUAAUACGGAGGGAGCUAGCGUUGUUCGGAAUUACUGGGCGUAAAGCGCACGUAGGCGGCUUUGUAAGUUAGAGGUGAAAGCCUGGAGCUCAACUCCAGAACUGCCUUUAAGACUGCAUCGCUUGAAUCCAGGAGAGGUGAGUGGAAUUCCGAGU